UGCUGAUAAUGUCUUGUCUGCUUUGAUUUUUCUGUUGACAUUUGCAGGAACAGUUUUAAUUUCAUUCUAACGUAUUCAGUGAAUUGACCUUUCACGGUGCAGUGCUCGACGUGCCCCUCGCUGCCCCCCGUGCAAGGUUUUCAGUGUCCUCAGUGGAAAAACGAAUGGAUUGAUUUUAAUACACAGAGGGUGUCUGGACUGAUUGAAAGCACAACUUUUGGUGGAGCUACAGAAGAGCAGCUGAAACUGGCAGCAGCAGCAACAUGAUCUGGUCUGGAAAUAUGGCAUUCCCUAAAAGCAUUCGGCUUUGCCAUGUGAUCUAAACAUUUGACCAAGUCCCUUUCAGGGGAUGUAUAUAAAAAGGUGUGUGAGCUCUUCCUCUUAUUCCAUGUCAUCCAUACCAACGU
rnacentral:lncRNA from 1 species